CACGUAGGCGGACCAGAAAGUCAGAGGUGAAAUCCCAGGGCUCAACCUUGGAACUGCCUUUGAAACUAUCGGUCUGGAGUUCGAGAGAGGUGAGUGGAAUUCCGAGUGUAGAGGUGAAAUUCGUAGAUAUUCGGAGGAACACCAGUGGCGAAGGCGGCUCACUGGCUCGAUACUGACGCUGAGGUGCGAAAGCGUGGGGAGCAAACA
rnacentral:rRNA from 1 species